GUGAAUGAAACUUGCGUUUUACAGCUCCUGCAGAGUGCCGCUGCUGCAGUUUCGAUGCGCUCUGAAAGCUUCAGAUUCAGAACAGCUCAGUGUUGAUUUCCAGGCACACUCUUGGGGAAAGCCCUCUGACCCCACCGCUUUAUAUAAGGAUGGAGAGUCAAAGGGAGACGUUAAGUGUCACUUCAGACUAAUCUAACUGAAUAAGAAACAAUGAAGGCUGGUCUCCUUAGUCAGAUUCGCAAUGGCUGUGGCUUGUUGCUCCUUUUCUGCUGUCUCCUUGAAGGUGUAUCCGGGUGGCCAAAGCCUAACGCUGAAAUCAACAUCGGGGAGUACCGGAAUCGAUCCAAGUACCUACUGCAGAUGGUGGAUCAUACGCUUCAG